rnacentral:rRNA from 1 species
AUGCCAUGCUUACAAGGUGGCCAGCAGUUGAAUCGUUGGCGCAGAGCUGCACAAUGCCUUGAAGCUGGAAUUAAAUUUAAGAAACAGGAGCUUGAUAAGUUGCAUCCUCAUUCACUAUUAGACAUAAAGUUUAGCAGCGGGGCAAUGGAAAUUCCGUGUAUCUUUGUUGACGAAUUCACCGAGACUCUCUUCAGGAACCUUGUUGCAUUUGAACAAACUUGCCCUCAGUUCGGAGACGACAUUACAGCAUACAUUGUUUUCUUAUCCCAGCUCAUAAGUAUGCCUGAAGAUGUCGUGCUUCUUGCUCGGAGAGAGAUCAUUGUGCAUCAUCUUGAUAGUGACGAAAUGGUAUCUGAUCUGUUCACCAUGCUCAGUAAGGACGUGGUCUUUGAUUUUAAUGGUCAGCACUAUCUUAAAACCAUACGCCAGAUGAUAGAAGCUUACUACCAGAGUCGUCUGAACAGGUGGAUGGCAUGGCUCUGGCUAAAUCACCUCAGAAACCCAUGGCUGGUUUUAGCUGCAUUUGCCACAAUUGUUGUUCUCGUCUGUACAGUAGUACAGACGGUUUAUGGGUUAUUGGCCUACAUUGACCCACCAGGAGGUAACACGUAA